GUGCUCACUUAGGCAGCACAUAUACUAAAAUUAGAACGAUACAGACAAGAUUAGCAUGGCCCCAGCACAAGCAUAACACGCAAAUUCUUGAAGCAGUCCAUAUUUUU
ensembl:snRNA U6 U6 spliceosomal RNA